rnacentral:rRNA from 1 species
UACGUAGGGUCCGAGCGUUGUCCGGAGUUACUGGGCGUAAAGCGCGCGCAGGUGGUCCAUUAAGCCCGGCGUGAAAGCCCCCGGCUCAACCGGGGGAGGGUCGUCGGGGACUGGUGGACUUGAGGGCGGCAGGGGCUGGUGGAAUCCCCGGUGGUAGUGGUGAAAUGCGUAGAGAUCGGGGGGAACACCCGUGGCGAAGGCGGCCAGCUGGGCCGACCCUG